GUCAAACUGAAGUUUCGGAAAAUUAAGAUUUAUAAAUAUUAAUAAAUAGAAAUUAAGAAAAUAAUAUAAAUAGAAAAAUAGAAAAGAAAUAAAUCAGAAAGUAAUUUGUAAAUUAAUAAGUCCAGUAGCAAAACUGAGUGCUCAGUGAGUAAAGCAGAGGGAGGGAAGUAAUUAAUCAAAUUACGCCCGGAGUUUAUAAAAGCAACACUCCUCAGUGCCACAGGGAAAAGGGUCCUGAAAAUACAGCAGAGCGCUAACCAGCAGGGCUUUCAUUCAAACCAGGACUGCAAUCUGCAGUAAAACUAUGUGCGAAAAGAACAUCUACAAAGUGUGAGAGGCAGCCGGUUUUUCACCUAACGCCUAAUGGCUAAUGGCUAAUCACUAAAGUGAAAUGAACCUGCAACUCAACCUAAAAAUAAAGGAGAGAAAAAGGAAAAGCUGUUUCAUUGAGUGGAUUCCAGUUAAAAUCUUACAGUGGAUGUUUCAGUCUCUUUCAAGUUUGGACAACGCACAUAUUUAAACAAUAACUUGACAGU